UACGGAGGGUGCAAGCGUUAUCCGGAUUCACUGGGUUUAAAGGGUGCGUAGGUGGGAAGGUAAGUCAGUGGUGAAAUCCCCGAGCUUAACUUGGGAACUGCCAUUGAUACUAUCUUUCUUGAAUACCUUGGAGGUGAGCGGAAUAUGUCAUGUAGCGGUGAAAUGCUUAGAUAUGACAUAGAACACCAAUUGCGAAGGCAGCUCACUACACGGUAAUUGACACUGAGGCACGAAAGCGUGGGGAUCAAACAGG
rnacentral:rRNA from 1 species